rnacentral:piRNA from 1 species
UGCACAAGUCACUUCCUGGAUGCUGUCUA